GUUGCCGCCGCCACUCGGCCAACGGUUCCUCACAUCACAAAACAAGCUCCGCCACCAGUUUCCCUCCCUUCAGCCUCUCACCGCACUGUCACUCACUUCAAUGAAGACCACUUCUUCAAACCACACCAGACCGAACGAUUCAGCAGUACACCAUUUGCGCCGAGCUUUCAUAUUGAAUUUACCCAACUGGCUCACGUCUUUUGCAGGGGUUGCAUCCAGUUAUAUUUACAUCGAGGGGAGCAUCAUGCUGAAUAUUACAGUCCCCAUCACCACUUGUCAGCACCAAAUGCAACAAGGUUCAAAAUGCUAAACCUCCUGACCCAAUGUGAAUGUGAUCAUUAAAUCUUGGAGGUUCAUCAAUCCUCGGAUUCUCCCGGGACUUGGAGGUAACGUUAAAACUCCCAAGUGAAGUCUUCAGGCUGCUUUUGUAGUACUUCCUUUAACUGUCACAUGAGAACACCCCAGGCUCAACUUCUGCAUUGAAGAUUAAUUUUGAUAACUUUUCUGACAGCAUUUCCACUACAGUGAGCACUUGUAGAUUUCAAAGCUGGGACUGAUCAGCGUGUUGAUGCUUGAACCUGAAAUGGCAGAAAACCAAACACAGCAGCGAGAAGCUCCAAAUGACGGCACAUGACAAAACACGAUGCAUUGCUGCAAAUUCAUGAAUUUUUACGGGAGUCUUUCUGAGACAUUCAGGCAGUGCUUGCUGUAGAAGCAUUGGCUGCCUGUAUCAAGAUGGAGCUUAGAGGUAUAUACUGUAUUUCUUGUGUGACUUUAACAAGGCGCAUGUCAUUGCCAAUUUCUGACCUUCAUAUUCAACUUUUCUAGACUGUAUAUGCCAUCAAUCUACACUUCUAACUGUGGGAGAGAAAUGUUUUAAAUGAUUUUCUAUUGUAUAAAUGUGAAUCCCAGCACUUCCAGUGAUUACCACAGAAUACGUGGUAGAUGUGAGAGUAAAAGCAUACUCCAGAAAUUCAAAUAAGGUCUGAGAUCAAGGUCAUGAAUACAUGGUGCCUUCAUUAUUUUUAUAACUUCUUAUAAUCUGGCAAAAAGUGCAUCAAUCCAUUGCACAAGUGCUAAUAAAUAUAUAU